UUAGUAAUGUCUGGGAAACUGCCUGAUGGAGGGGGAUAACUACUGGAAACGGUAGCUAAUACCGCAUAACGUCUUCGGACCAAAGUGGGGGACCUUCGGGCCUCAUGCCAUCAGAUGUGCCCAGAUGGGAUUAGCUAGUAGGUGGGGUAAUGGCUCACCUAGGCGACGAUCCCUAGCUGGUCUGAGAGGAUGACCAGCCACACUGGAACUGAGACACGGUCCAGACUCCUACGGGAGGCAGCAGUGGGGAAUAUUGCACAAUGGGCGCAAGCCUGAUGCAGCCAUGCCGCGUGUAUGAAGAAGGCCUUCGGGUUGUAAAGUACUUUCAGCGAGGAGGAAGGCAUUAAGGUUAAUAACCUUAGUGAUUGACGUUACUCGCAGAAGAAGCACCGGCUAACUCCGUGCCAGCAGCCGCGGUAAUACGGAGGGUGCAAGCGUUAAUCGGAAUUACUGGGCGUAAAGCGCACGCAGGCGGUCUGUCAAGUCGGAUGUGAAAUCCCCGGG
rnacentral:rRNA from 1 species